rnacentral:lncRNA from 1 species
CUGCCAGCGGUGGUAGGACUCAUGAGUGUUCCAUCUGUCACAAGACUUUCCCCACUGGACAGGCUUUGGGUGGACACAAGCGAUGCCACUACGAAGGCGGCGCCAGCGUCAGCAGUGGCGUUACCUCGUCCGAAGGUGUGGGGUCAACCCACAGCCACCGUGACUUCGACCUCAACCUGCCGGCUUUUCCCGAAUUAUGGUCCGCACGUCGAUUCCCAGUCGAUGACGAGGUCGAGAGUCCUCUGCCGACAAAGAAGCCCCGUCUCCAGAUGCUGCCGCCAAAAACCGAAGUCUCU